CUGGCGGCAGCUUGACCAUGCNAGUCGAGCGGAAACGAUGAUAGCUUGCUAUCAGGCGUCGAGCGGCGGACGGGUGAGUAAUACUUAGGAAUCUACCUAGUAGUGGGGGAUAGCUCGGGGAAACUCGAAUUAAUACCGCAUACGACCUACGGGAGAAAGGGGGCAACUUGUUGCUCUCGCUAUUAGAUGAGCCUAAGUCGGAUUAGCUAGAUGGUGGGGUAAAGGCCUACCAUGGCGACGAUCUGUAGCUGGUCUGAGAGGAUGAUCAGCCACACCGGGACUGAGACACGGCCCGGACUCCUACGGGAGGCAGCAGUGGGGAAUAUUGGACAAUGGGGGCAACCCUGAUCCAGCCAUGCCGCGUGUGUGAAGAAGGCCUUUUGGUUGUAAAGCACUUUAAGCAGUGAAGAAGACUCCGUGGUUAAUACCCACGGACGAUGACAUUAGCUGCAGAAUAAGCACCGGCUAACUCUGUGCCAGCAGCCGCGGUAAU
rnacentral:rRNA from 1 species